rnacentral:rRNA from 1 species
UGGGGGAUAUUGUACAAUGGGCGAAAGCCUGAUGCAGCGACGCCGCGUGGGGGAUGAAGGCUUUCGGGUUGUAAACCUCUUUCGCUAUCGAACAAGGCCCGCUUAGGGUGGGUUGAGGGUAGGUGGAGAAGAAGCGCCGGCUAACUACGUGCCAGCAGCCGCGGUAAUACGUAGGGCGCGAGCGUUGUCCGGAAUUAUUGGGCGUAAAGGGCUUGUAGGCGGCUUGUUGCGCCUGCUGUGAAAACGCGGGGCUUAACUUCGCGCGUGAAGUGGGUACGGGCAGGCUUGAGUGUGGUAGGGGUGACUGGAAUUCCAGGUGUAGCGGUGGAAUGCGCAGAUAUCUGGAGGAACACCGAUGGCGAAGGCAGGUCACUGGGCCAUUACUGACGCUGAGGAGCGAAAGCAUGGGUAGCGAACAGG